AGGGGUUUAGUGUAAUGGCAGCACCGCAGUCUCCAAAACUGUUAGUAAGGGUUCGAAUCCUUUAACUCCUGCCA
rnacentral:tRNA from 2 species